rnacentral:lncRNA from 1 species
GGUUAAGGUGGUGAGUUUUGGGCGACACGAAACGAGUCAACUCAAUAAACUUGUUUUUUACCAGGUCAAAUAACUCAAUAUGGCGAUAACUCGAGGUGGGUCUCCGAGUCGCCACUGCUAUGAAUUUAUUAUUACCUGGUGAAGUGGCUGGAGUGAACGCGUGGAGUCCAGGUGGUGUGACUCGUUGAAUCGACACUGACUCAGUCGAAACCAGUCCAGUUUGGGGCAGAAUCACUUUGUACACACUGAUCCAGUCAUCUUCUUCGCUUUUUCUGUGGAAAAACAGUGUUGACUCGUCGACCCAACACGGCCAUCCGCCGUUUUCAACUAUCUUGACCCGCUGAGUCCCAUCCCGAGUCAGGAAAAUAUAAAUAUCAGUACUCAGCAUCUCCACUUCGCCAUCCCAGCCUUUAUUUCCAUAUGAAGCCACAGCCGUGUACUUCCC